AAGGAAUGCUAUUUCAAACUCUGAACCAUCAAACACACACAAUUCUAGGUACAUGAUAAAGACGGCCAGAAGAUACACCAUAACUGAACUAACCAAGAGCCUGGUUCUCCCCUGUUCCAGCAACCUCUUCUGUAGGCUCCUAUGGUGAAGCUGAAGGCAAAUGAACAUACUUGGACACAGCCCUUCCGUUCAAGGACCAGUGAGAGAUCUUUCAAAGGGAGAGGCGUCAGGCUGGAAUCCCUGAUGAAGGGUAAGUUCUCAUCACCAAGGAAACUAAGCAGGUCUUCUCCUUCAACGUGGAAGAUACUCAAAGGCUGCCUAAACCAUGCAUGUGAUGUACAGUGGAGUCUGAAAGUUUAUAAACAGCAGGGGGAAGGCUAAGCAUCGUGACCAGUAAGUAUGCAAAUCCUGCAGAUCCCGGUACUUCUUGUUUACCUUCUUGGAUGAUGGCUACAGGAUUCAGAAACUGCCUAUCGGCGCAAAUAAGUUUCUAAAGCAACAUGACCUACAGAAGAAGAACCCUUCAUGACCGACAAAGGAGAACUCCCAUUUGUUAUACGGGAAUAUCCUAUGAAGGGUCUCACCUCUAUUGAGAAGCUCCAAGGUCUAAAUUGAGAAGUUACAAUAAAAUACUUGCCUUCAGGUAAAAAACAUCUUUAUCAAAUGUUUAUUCAUGUCAGGGAAAGGCCCAGGAACUCAGCCUCUAGUAAGAAGAAACUCUUUCAGCACUGAAGUUAAGACUGCAGGGCUAGGCCAGCAGUGGAGAUAGAUCCAGCUUGUC